GAUGAACGCUGGCGGCGUGCCUAAUACAUGCAAGUCGAGCGAACGGACGAGAAGCUUGCUUCUCUGAUGUUAGCGGCGGACGGGUGAGUAACACGUGGAUAACCUACCUAUAAGACUGGGAUAACUUCGGGAAACCGGAGCUAAUACCGGAUGAUAUUUUGAACCGCAUGGUUCAAAAGUGAAAGACGGUCUUGCUGUCACUUAUAGAUGGAUCCGCUCUGCAUUAGCUAGUUGGUAAGGUAACGGCUUACCAAGGCAACGAUGCAUAGCCGACCUGAGAGGGUGAUCGGCCACACUGGAACUGAGACACGGUCCAGACUCCUACGGGAGGCAGCAGUAGGGAAUCUUCCGCAAUGGGCGAAAGCCUGACGGAGCAACGCCGCGUGAGUGAUGAAGGUCUUCGGAUCGUAAAACUCUGUUAUUAGGGAAGAACAUAUGUGUAAGUAACUGUGCACAUCUUGACGGUACCUAAUCAGAAAGCCACGGCUAACUACGUG
rnacentral:rRNA from 1 species